rnacentral:rRNA from 1 species
GACGAACGCUGGCGACGUGCUUAACACAUGCAAGUCGAACGGAAAGGCCCUGCUUUUGUGGGGUGCUCGAGUGGCGAACGGGUGAGUAACACGUGAGUAACCUGCCCUUGACUUUGGGAUAACUUCAGGAAACUGGGGCUAAUACCGGAUAGGAGCUCCUGCUGCAUGGAGGGGGUUGGAAAGUUUCGGCGGUUGGGGAUGGACUCGCGGCUUAUCAGCUUGUUGGUGGGGUAGUGGCUUACCAAGGCUUUGACGGGUAGCCGGCCUGGGAGGGUGGCCGGCCACCUCGGGCCUGAGGUACGGCCCAGACUCCUACGGGGGGCAGCAGUGGGGAAUAUUGCCCAAUGGGCGGAAGCCUGAUGCAGCAACGCCGCGUGCGGGAUGACGGCCUUCGGGUUGUAAACCGCUUUCGCCUGUGACGAAGCGUGAGUGACGGUAAUGGGUAAAGAAGCACCGGCUAACUACGUG